rnacentral:lncRNA from 1 species
AACGUGGCAUAAAAGGAACACAGGAUAUCUCAAGUGUGGGACCGAUAAGCAAAGCCCCUCAAGGGGUAAGAAUUGGGUUCCUAGGAUCUAAACUCACAGCUCCCUCAAGGCCCUGGCCCCAGGCCAUUACUGGCUUUGCUAAAUCUGUUCCUGGUUUUAGGUGAGGAACUACAUUUGUCUCCACACAUCAGGGCUUCAGGAAAAGCCUUGGAUUGCCCUGGUUCCCCACACAUGCCUAUGAGGGUCAAGCUGUCAAGGUCAUCUUGGCGACAUCUUGAAGUCAACCAAGGAUACACAGAUUGAUCAAAAAUUUUUUCUAAAGCAAUAAAUAAAGUGGAUUAAACCACUUUGUACCUAUAAAAAACCAAAGAAAUGAGAGAAUGUUAAUGCUUGCAAGAAUAAAAAGAUUGAAGACUUGG